CAGUAGCCACGGUAAUACAGAGGGUGCGAGCGUUAAUCGGAUUUACUGGGCGUAAAGCGUGCGUAGGCGGCUAAUUGAGUCGGAUGUGAAAUCCCCGAGCUUAACUUAGGAAUUGCAUUCGAUACUGGGAAGCUAGAGUAUGGGAGAGGAUGGUAGAAUUCCAGGUGUAGCGGUGAAAUGCGUAGAGAUCUGGAGGAAUACCGAUGGCGAAGGCAGCCAUCUGGCCUAAUACUGACGCUGAGGUACGAAAGCAUGGGGAGCAAACAGGAUUAGAUACCCGAGUAGUCCCUGUCUCUUAUAC
rnacentral:rRNA from 1 species